rnacentral:misc_RNA from 1 species
GAUGAAGAACGCAGCGAAAUGCGAUAAGUAAUGCGAAUUGCAGAAUUUCCGUGAGUCAUCGAAUCUUUGAACGCACAUUGCGCCCUGUGGUAUUCCGCAGGGCAUGCCUGUUCGAGCGUCAUUUCAACCCUCAAGCCCCGCUUGGUGUUGGGCCCCGCCCGCUGUGGCCGGCCCUAAAGACAGUGGCGGCGCCGCCUGGCCCUCAGCGUAGUACAUCUCUCGCUCCAGGGUCCGGUGGCCGCCUGCCAGAACCCCCCAACUCUGUGGUUGACCUCGGAUCAGGUAGGGAUACCCGCUGAACUUAAGCAUAUCAAUAAGCGGAGGA